rnacentral:rRNA from 1 species
UGGGGAAUAUUGCACAAUGGAGGGAACUCUGAUGCAGCGACGCCGCGUGAGUGAUGAAGGAAUUCGUUUCGUAAAACUCUGUUCUAUGGGAAGAAAAGGACUGUACCAUAGGAGAAAGCUCCGGCUAAAUACGUGCCAGCAGCCGCGGUAAUACGUAGGGUACUAGCGUUGUCCGGAUUUAUUGGGCGUAAAGGGCUUGUAGGUGGUUUGUCGCGUCUGUCGUGAAAUCCUGUGGCUUAACCAUGGGCUUGCGGUGGGUACGGGCAGGCUUGAGUGCGGUAGGGGAGACUGGAAUUCCUGGUGUAGCGGUGGAAUGCGCAGAUAUCAGGAGGAACACCGGUGGCGAAGGCGGGUCUCUGGGCCGUUACUGACACUGAGGAGCGAAAGCGUGGGGAGCGAACAGG